rnacentral:rRNA from 1 species
GAUGAACGCUGACAGAAUGCUUAACACAUGCAAGUCUUUGGCGAAGCUGUGCUUGCACAGCCUAGCCAAGGCGGACGGGUGAGUAACGCGUAAGGAACUUGCCCUGCAGUCAGGGAUAACAGACGGAAACGACUGAUAAGACCUGGUAAAGUCAGGCGGACUCAUGUCCAGCCUGAUGAAAAGAGAUGCUGCAGGAGAGCCUUGCGUCCUAUUAGCUUGUUGGUGGGGUAACGGCCCACCAAGGCGAUGAUAGGUAGCCGGCCUGAGAGGGUGAACGGCCACAAGGGGACUGAGAUACGGCCCUUACUCCUACGGGAGGCAGCAGUGGGGAAUAUUGGACAAUGGGGGCAACCCUGAUCCAGCAAUUCUGUGUGCACGAUGAAGGUUUUCGGAUUGUAAAGUGCUUUCAGCAGGGAAGAAAAAAAUGACGGUGCCUGCAGAAGAAGCGACGGCUAAAUACGUG